rnacentral:rRNA from 1 species
AAUCAACGCUGGCGGCGUGCCUAACACAUGCAAGUCGCACGAGAAAGUGGAGCAAUCCAUGAGUACAGUGGCGCACGGGUGAGUAACACGUGAAUCAUCUACCUUCGAGUGGGGAAUAACUGAGAGAAAUCUUAGCUAAUACCGCAUAACACUUACGAGUCAAAGCAGCAAUGCGCUUGAAGAGGAGUUCGCGGCAGAUUAGUUAGNGGCGGGGUAAUGGCCCACCAAGACGAUGAUCUGUAUCCGGCCUGAGAGGGCGCACGGACACACUGGAACUGAAACACGGUCCAGACUCCUACGGGAGGCAGCAGUGGGGAAUUUUGCGCAAUGGGGGAAACCCUGACGCAGCAACGCCGCGUGGAGGAUGAAGCCCC